rnacentral:tRNA from 1 species
AGAAGAUAAGGCCCAACACCUUUGAUUUGAAACCAAAUAAAGGACGUUCAACUCGUCCAUCUUCUU